rnacentral:lncRNA from 1 species
ACAGUAAAAUUGUAACUUUUUUUUUUUUCUUGGCUCCCUGACUGAGCUUUAUUUCUCCCUAGGUUUUCUGUCACCUGAUAGAGUUUGGCUUCAUUACCACUGAUGCUUUCUAUCUUGCUCAGCUUGGGUCUGAAAGUCUUGCUUUUCAGAAAUGCUAGUGGUCAAAUCAUGUCACUAAGAUUUAUUGAAAAGGCAGCCUCUCAUCCCCGCAUAGGGAGCAUACAUCCACAAACUCUGAUACGGCUUGAAAUAAUCAUCGCCAAAGAGAGUGGGACUGAAGAAAAUGAAUUUUCUUUUUACAAUAAAACAGAAUUUGAAGAGCCACACUCGAGUGAGGCAUUUUAAUACAGUAUGGCUCAUUAAACUCUGCUGACUUGGCCUGGGUGGCAGAUGAACAUUAGCUUCACAACUCAUAAUGUGGAACUGCAGUCUUGAGGCAAUUUGGGUGCUCUGCAGACCCCAUGAAGCUUUGAAACUAGUUUUUAUUCUAGGCAGAACUGUCAAUCAGGAUGCGAGCUGAAAAGAGUGAACCUUCUGACUGUAAUUUACGUGCCACACUUCACUACGCCAGAUGAAAAUCCCAUUUAUGAUUAAUCCGUACAGUGGAGACAGAUACUGCGUGUUCUGUCUGAGGAUCUCUGAAUGGAACCGUAAAUAUCACCGUCGUGUGUCAGCUCUUUUGUCUGUCAUAUUUAUGUAGAUGAAAAAGGUAGAAGUGAGGGUUUGGGGAAAGGAAAAAGCUUUUGAAUAUGAUUUGUUUACCCUUUUUUACUGCAGAGCAUUCCACUAGUUGUGGUUGUGCACUUGCUUUUUAAAUAAAUUCCAAUGUAUUGAUUACAUAGCAUGAUCAUCAACCUGAUUAUUUAAAAUACUUGAAUGUUUGAUUCUCUUUCUUUUCUGCCUUUUUAUUCUGAAGAAAGAAUGAAAAACAUGAUUUUCAUUGUAAUUCACAUAGUAAAAUAUCAUGGAUGUGUACGAGUGGAGCUUUGCUGUGUGCUCUGGAAUGAUAAAAGAAGGGAUGACAGUAAAUGUUUACUCUGAGUUUUCUUUGAAAAUCGUGCAAAGGUCUGUGUAAACAGCCAGCAUACUCGACCGCCUCAGUAACGAACUCGGCUAACAUCUAAACAAGCCAAAUUUUCUUAAAGAGACAGCAACAGCACCACCUGAAU